AGUGAACGCUGGCGGUAGGCCUAACACAUGCAAGUCGAACGGCAGCACAGUAAGAGCUUGCUCUUACGGGUGGCGAGUGGCGGACGGGUGAGGAAUACAUCGGAAUCUACUUUUUCGUGGGGGAUAACGUAGGGAAACUUACGCUAAUACAGCAUACGACCUACGGGUGAAAGCAGGGGAUCUUCGGACCUUGCGCGAAUGAAUGAGCCGAUGUCGGAUUAGCUAGUUGGCGGGGUAAAGGCCCACCAAGGCGACGAGCCGUAGCUGGUCUGAGAGGAUGAUCAGCCACACUGGAACUGAGACACGGUCCAGACUCCUACGGGAGGCAGCAGUGGGGAAUAUUGGACAAAGGGCGCAAGCCUGAUCCAGCCAUACCGCGUGGGUGAAGAAGUCCUUCGGGUUGUAAAGCCCUUUUGUUGGGGAAGAAAAGCAGCAGGUUAAUACCCCGCUGUUCUGACGGUACCCAAAGAAUAAGCACCGGCUAACUUCGUG
rnacentral:rRNA from 1 species